AGAGCGAACGCUGGCGGCAGGCCUAACACAUGCAAGUCGAGCGCCCAGCAAUGGGAGCGGCAGACGGGAUAGUAACACGUGGGAACGUACCCUUCAGUUCGGAACAACCAAGGGAAACUUGUGCUAAAUACCGGAUAAGCCCUUACGGGGAAAGAUUUAUCGCCAAAGGAUCGGCCCGCGUCUGAUUAGCUAGUUGGUGAGGUAACGGCUCACCAAGGCUACGAUCAGUAGCUGGUCUGAGAGGAUGAUCAGCCUCACUGGGACUGAGACACGGCCCAGACUCCUACGGGAGGCAGCAGUGGGAAUAUUGGACAAUGGGCGCAAGCCUGAUCCAGCCAUGCCGCGUGGGUGAUGAAGGCCCUAGGGUUGUAAAGCCCUUUCGGCGGGGAAGAUAAUGACGGUACCCGCAGAAGAAGCCCGGCUAACUUCGUGCCAGCAGCCGC
rnacentral:rRNA from 1 species